UACGUAGGGUGCGAGCGUUAAUCGGAAUUACUGGGCGUAAAGCGUGCGCAGGCGGUUCGUUGUGUCUGUGGUGAAAGCCCCGGGCUUAACCUGGGAAUGGCCAUGGAAACUGGCGAGCUGGAGUGUGGCAGAGGGGGGUGGAAUUCCGCGUGUAGCAGUGAAAUGCGUAGAGAUCAUGAGGAAGACCAGUGGCGAAGGCGGGUCUCUGGACAGUUCCUGACACUGAGACACGAAGGCCAGGGGAGCAAACGGG
rnacentral:rRNA from 1 species